rnacentral:rRNA from 1 species
GAGAAUGCCGGUGUGAGUAGCGAAAGACGGGUGAGAAUCCCGUCCACCGAUUGACUAAGGUUUCCAGAGGAAGGCUCGUCCGCUCUGGGUUAGUCGGGUCCUAAGCUGAGGCCGACAGGCGUAGGCGAUGGAUAACAGGUUGAUAUUCCUGUACCACCUAUAAUCGUUUUAAUCGAUGGGGGGACGCAGUAGGAUAGGCGAAGCGUGCGAUUGGAUUGCACGUCUAAGCAGUAAGGCUGAGUAUUAGGCAAAUCCGGUACUCGUUAAGGCUGAGCUGUGAUGGGGAGAAGACAUUGUGUCUUCGAGUCGUUGAUUUCACACUGCCGAGAAAAGCCUCUAGAUAGAAAAUAGGUGCCCGUACCGCAAACCGACACAGGUAGUCAAGAUGAGAAUUCUAAGGUGAGCGAGCGAACUCUCGUUAAGGAACUCGGCAAAAUGACCCCGUAACUUCGGGAGAAGGGGUGCUCUUUAGGGUUAACGCCCAGAAGAGCCGCAGUGAAUAGGCCCAAGCGACUGUUUAUCAAAAACACAGGUCUCUGCUAAACCGUAAGGUGAUGUAUAGGGGCUGACGCCUGCCCGGUGCUGGAAGGUUAAGAGGAGUGGUUAGCUUCUGCGAAGCUACGAAUCGAAGCCCCAGUAAACGGCGGCCGUAACUAUAACGGUCCUAAGGUAGCGAAAUUCCUUGUCGGGUAAGUUCCGACCCGCACGAAAGGCGUAACGAUUUGGGCACUGUCUCAACGAGAGACUCGGUGAAAUCAUAGUACCUGUGAAGAUGCAGGUUACCCGCGACAGGACGGAAAGACCCCGUGGAGCUUUACUGUAGCCUGAUAUUGAAAUUCGGCACAGCUUGUACAGGAUAGGUAGGAGCCUUUGAAACGUGAGCGCUAGCUUACGUGG